rnacentral:tRNA from 1 species
GUUAGAGUGGCAGAGCCCGGCAAUGCAAAAGACCUAAGCCCUUUGGACAGAGGUUCAAAUCCUCUCCCUAACU